GUUUCCGUAGUGUAGCGGUUAUCACGUUCGCCACACGCGAAAGGUCUCCAGUUCAAACUUGGCGGAAACA
rnacentral:tRNA from 1 species